rnacentral:lncRNA from 1 species
GCUCUUUUCAUUCAGUUCCUUUUUCUCUGCAAGAAACUCCUGAAUAUAUUUGUAAUGACAAGAGAAACCUUUUUUGCUUCUACAAAAUUUAUAGCAGCGUUCUAUUUUUCUGCCAGAAAAUCCUCUUACAGUGAACUCUAGAUGCUGAAGACAGAUGGACCACCAGAUGGACCCUGGGAAGGAUUGGUUAAAAUGUCAGUGAUAAGCUAACAGAAUGAAAUGCAGUAGACUGAGGAGACUAUUCUGCUGAAAACCAUCUACUGAAAUGGGGUUUGUAUUAUUCACAUUCAUUAAAGCACACUUCAACUGUGCUGUUUUGACAUUUUCUGUUUCGAGACUUUCAAGUCAAGCAGCUCUGUGUUUGCUGUUUUGCUGAGGUUUUUUUCUUUUCCAAAUGGUUGUUUGAUGAUAGAUUUUCAAAAGUGACCCUAGCUCUUUAAGGCGAUUGCUUUGCCAUUGAGGAAUCUUGCCAUUGUUAUAUUCAGCCAUCAAACUUACAAGUACACCAAUUCAGACUCUGAAGAGCAAACUGAUGUAAGGAUGAAGAUUAUAUAAGGGACAGAAGUGAGUUAUUGCUUGCUUCUGGUAAACUCGCAUAACUUGCUUUCCAAUUCUUACCGUUCAUUUACCUGCAAUACUAAUUCCAACAACUUCUUUGGAUUAAGCCUUGAGAAUUUCAUUACAAACAUGGAAAGAAAUGCAUACACAUGGCAGUGUAUCAGCAGUAGGGAACAAGCUAAGACGGGUCAGGAAAGACUCCAGGCAGAAGCUUUGUUGCAAAACAGAAACACAAAAUAGAGAUUUGCCUGAUUUCAUGUGGUUCAUCAUUCAGCUGCUUGAUUUCUCCACUCUUCAUUUGCUUCACAAGAAAAAAAGCUGUUUCCUUCAAACUUGCAAUAUUAGUUAUGAUUCUGCACCAGUGCCACAUGGCUAGUCUACCCAUAACUUCAUAAGGGAUAUUCUGCAGUUUCAAGUACAAAUCAAUUGUCACAAGAUCAACAUCAAAAUAUCUUCUUUACUGAGUCACACUAUAAAUUCUAUCAUGAAUAUUGCCAUUCAAUGAUUCAUAAAUAAAAACAAACGUUAGCAUUGAGAGGUAUUCCUCUCUUACUUGAAACAAUUCCCA